rnacentral:rRNA from 1 species
AGAGUUUGAUCCUGGCUCAGAACGAACGCUGGCGGCGUGGAUAAGACAUGCAAGUCGAGCGGGACAUUUCAGGUAGCAAUAUUUGAUUUGUUCAGCGGCGCAAGGGUGUGUAACACGUGGGUAAUAUUCCUAUGAGUUUGGAACAGCUCCGAGAAAUCGGAGCUAAUACCAAAUAAUUUGAUAAACUGGCAUCAGUUUAUCACUAAAGUUGGGGACCGCAAGGCCUGACGCUCUAAGAUUAGCCCGCGGCCUAUCAGCUAGUUGGUGAGGUAAUAGCUCACCAAGGCCAAGACGGGUAGCUGGUCUGAGAGGACGACCAGCCACACUGGAACUGAGACACGGUCCAGACACCUACGGGUGGCAGCAGUCGAGAAUUUUUCUCAAUGGGGGAAACCCUGAAGGAGCGACGCCGCGUGGGGGAUGAAUGGCUUCGGCCCGUAAACCCCUGUCAUCUGCGAGCAAUAUCUGUCUCAUAAUAUGUGGCAGAUUGAUAGUAGCGGAAGAGGAAGGGACGGCUAACUCUGUGCCAGCAGCCGCGGUAAUACAGAGGUCCCAAGCGUUGUUCGGAUUUACUGGGCGUAAAGGGUGCGUAGGUGGCAUGCCAAGUCUGAUGUGAAAUCUUGAAGCUUACUUUCGAAACUGCAUUGGAAACUGGUGUGCUAGAGUAGUGUAGGGGAGACUGGAAUGCUCGGUGUAGCAGUGAAAUGCGUAGAUAUCGAGCGGAACACCAGUGGCGAAGGCGAGUCUCUGGACACUUACUGACACUGAGGCACGAAAGCCAAGGGAGCAAACGGGAUUAGAUACCCCGGUAGUCUUGGCUGUAAACGGUGCGCAUUUGCUGUGAGCGGAUUCAACCCCGCUCGUGGCGUAGCUAACGCGAUAAAUGCGCCGCCUGGGGAGUACGGUCGCAAGAUUAAAACUCAAAGAAAUUGACGGGGGCCUGCACAAGCGGUGGAGUAUGUGGCUUAAUUCGAUGCAACGCGAAGAACCUUACCUAGCCUUGACAUGUGGGUAGUAGAAGCUUGAAAAAGUGACGAGAUAGCAAUAUCAGCCUACACAGGUGCUGCAUGGCUGUCGCCAGCUCGUGUCGUGAGAUGUUGGGUUAAGUCCCGCAACGAGCGCAACCCCUAUAUUCUGUUGCAAUUCAGCCGCAAGGUUGAAGCACUCUGGAUAGACUGCCUCGCUUUAACGAGGAGGAAGGUGGGGAUGACGUCAAGUCAGUAUGGCCCUUACGGCUAGGGCUGCACACGUACUACAAUGCCUGGCACAAAAAGAAGCAAAACGGCAACGUGGAGCAAAUCUUAUAAAACCAGGCCCAGUUCAGAUUGUCGUCUGCAACUCGACGGCAUGAAGCUGGAAUCGCUAGUAAUGGCGCAUCAGCUACGGCGCCGUGAAUACGUUCCCAGGCCUUGUACACACCGCCCGUC